rnacentral:rRNA from 1 species
GAUGACGGGUAGCUGGACUGAGAGGUCGGUCAGCCACAACUGCACUGAGACACGGGCAGUACACCUACGGGUGGCAGCAACUAGGAAUAUUGCGCAAUGGACGAAAGUCUGACGCAGCGACGCCGCGUGGAGGAUGAAGGCCUUAGGGUUGUAAACUCCUUUUGAGUCGCCAUUCACGGCGACUAGAAUAAGCCCUUACUAACUACGUGGCCCGUAAAAAACGGGUUUGGCGCGUAGUAUAAAUUUCACUAUAUGCUGGGAACUUUUGUAAAAGCUUACCUACCGAAAGGUAAAAAUGGUAAGCCAAACCCUAAAAAACUAGCGAUUGGUAUGGGGGUUGCGAAACAAUCAGCAGGCAACCUCGAUUUUUCGAGGAAGUCCUCAGAGACUAUACGUGGAACAGGUUUAAAACCUGAAGAUAUAGUCCAAUGUUCGGAACGUAUAAUUUUUGUACGGGCCGGGCCAGCAGUCGCGGUAAUACGUAGGGGGCAAGCGUUAUCCGGAUUUAUUGGGCGUAAAGUGUGCGUAGGCUCCUUAAAAAGUCGCGUCUCAAAUGCUCAGGCUUAACCUGAGAAGCGGAUGCGAUACUAUUAGGGUUGAGGAUUGACAGGGAUGCUGGAACAGCUAGAGUAGCAGUGAAAUGCGUUGAUAUUAGCUGGAACACCAAAGGCGAAGGCAAGCAUCUAGGUUUUUCCCUGACGCUGAGGCACGAAAGCUAAGGUAGCGAAACAGAUUAGAUACCUGUGUAGUCUUAGCUGUAAACAAUGUUCGCUAGCUCUUCCCCUCUUUUCUUUGUUUGCAAAUUUUUAAUGUUUAAAGAUUUGCCGGAAAAGAGGGGAGGGGCGUAAGUUAACACGUUAAGCGAACCGCCUGGGGAGUACGGCCGCAAGGCUAAAACUCAAAGGAAUUGACGGGGACCCGCACAAUCUGUGGAGCGUGUGGUUCAAUUCGAGACAAAACGAAGAACCUCACCAGGGUUUGUGCUGCAUGGCUGUCGUCAGCUCGUGCCGUGAGGUGUUCCCUUAAGUGGGGAAACGAGCGCAACCCCCAUUCAAUGUUAAAUAUUCAUUGGAGACAGCCCCCUCUUUCUGGGCUUUAUCUAAAAAUUUUAUGUAGAGCGUUGAUUGUUGAAAUCAAUAAACGUGAAAUUAAGAUAGAACUUAGAAAGAGGGGGAGGAAGGAGGGGAAGACGUCAAGUCAGCACGGCCCUUAUACCCUGGGCUACACACACACUACAAUGGCGAAAAACAAUGAGUUGCAAGCCGGUAACGGCAAGCUAAUCUCUGAAAUUUCGUCUCAGUUCAGAUUGGGGGCUGAAACCCGCCCCCAUGAAGUUGGAAUAGAUAGUAAUCGCGAAUCAGCAUGUCGCGGUGAAUACGUUCUCGGGUCUUGUACAAAAAUAAAUUGCGCCUUUCAGCCAAUUUUUCCAGAAGGUGAAAAUCCUUUCAGAUGUAAGUAAGAUGUCUGAAGCGAAAUAGCAUCCU